rnacentral:lncRNA from 1 species
AAAGUUUUGACAUAUGUUUUCUCUUGCUUGAGAACAAUAAUUGAUAUUGUAUGUUUCAUCAAGAGAUCCAAUUUGAACAUGAAUAAUUUUGGGAAGAAUUUUUUAAUUCUAUUCCAAUUAAAUUGAUUUUUACAAGAUUUGAAUAUUUAUACACAAAGAAUCAACCUAAAUUAGGAAUAUUUACGAUAAAAAUAAAAUCUCUAUAAUCAAGCCUAAUUAGAACUCUCCUAAUUAGGAACCUUCUAUAUUGGUCAACACUUCCUUCGAGUUGAUAUAUAGAUAUCACACAUGUCCAACUUGCAAACGAAGGUAUGAUAGGCCUUGUUACUGAGCCCUCUGCUAGCUGUUCAUCAGAAGUCACAUGAUCUAAUAUCAAGACAUCAUUUAUUAACUUCUAUUUAUUAACUUCUUUUUAAUGAAGUGUCGAUCAAUCUCUAUGUUAUUCGUUCGGUCAUUCGUUCGGUCAUGUUGAACUGGAUUGUGAGCUAUAUUGAUGACAGCUUUGUCACAGUCUCUCUCCAAUAGUUUCAAUUCCUCCAACAAUCACUGUAACCAUAGGAGUUCACAAACAUCUUAUACCGUUGUCUAUAUUCCACUUCAGCACUUGAUCGAGUAAUAACACUUUAUUUUUUGCUUCUCUAAGUGACAAGGUUUCCUCCCACGUAUGCAGUAACUACCAGUUGAUUUCUAUCGUCAAGGGAUCCAAUCCAAUAUGCAUAUGUGAAUGCAUGUAUGCGAACAUGACCGUGUUUAGCGAAUAGGAGACCUUUUUUAGGAGUAAACGUCAAGUAUCGCAGAAUGCGAAAAACAGCUUGCAUGUGAGACUCAUGAGAAUCAUGCAUAAACUGACUAAUUAAGUUGACUGCAUACACUAUGUCUGGUCAAGCAUGUGAAAAAUAAAUCAGUCUGCCUACCAAUGCAACCUAACAUGCUAGUUUCUUUCAAAAGAUUUAGAAUGUAUUUUCUCUAAGAAAUAAAGAUUCCCCGCUUUGAUUUGGCAACCUUGAUUCCCAGGAAAUAUUGUAGUUUUUCUAGAUUUUUAAUUUCGAACUUCUGAGCCAAAAGAUUUUUCGGACGAGUCAUCUCUUCAGUGUCAUCCCCUAUCAUUACUAUGUUAUCAACAUAGACUAUGAGAAGAGUAAUUUUACCCUUGUGAAGUUUGAUAAAUAGGGUAUGGUUAGUAUUGCUCUCUUGAUAGCCAAAGAAAAUCAUAACUCUGCUAAAUUGAUCAAACUAAGCUCUUUGUGACUGCUCAAUUCAUACAAAGCUUUCUUUAGCCUGCACACCUUUGUAUUUUUUCAUCAGCAAAUUCAAGAGGGAUUUUCAUAUACACUUCCUCCUUCAAGUCUCCAUGGAGAAAUGCAUUUUUCACAUCAAAUUGUUGUAGGUCAAAGUUGAUAGUGUAAAAUAGCUAUACUUUGAUUGAGUUUAUAUUGGCAUCAGGGGCAAAUGUCUCCUGGUAAUCCUCCGCAGGUUUGACUGUAUCCCUUGGUAACUAGUCUAGACUUGAAUCUUUCAAUUGAUCCAUCUGUUUUGUGCUUCACAGUAAACACCCAUUUGCAGCUAAUCGGGUUUUCUAGGUGGAAGAGACAAACUCUCAGGUCUCAUUUUUAGCCAAGACUUUCAUUUCUUCAAUUAUUACUCCCUUCCAAUUAGAAUCUUUGAGAGCUUCCUUCUAAUUGUGGGAUAGACACAGAGGAAAUAGACAAAACAAAGUCUAUAUAGGAUGGAGGCAAAGAAUCAUAAGAGGGAAAGUUAGAAAUAGAGUACUUUGUGUAAGAUCUAACUCUUUUUCUUUAAGCAAUUGGUUUAUUUAGAUCAUUAAUGGGCUCAAGGUUCAGGGAUGAUUCACCAGAUGGAGAAAAGGAAGAUUCAUGACACUGAGUAGGUUGUACAAUGGCUUUUUCUGCUUUUGUUUUUGAAGAAUUUUGGGAAAAUUUAGAGAAUUUUUAUAUUUUACUCUUAAUCUUUACAAUUGGUCUACAUGGCUAUUUAUACACAAAGAAUUAUAUCUAAACAGGAAGCAAAUAAUCAAAUAAUAAUUACAGAGAUAAUUAAGGAUCCUAAUCAAAUUAAAUCAUAUCCCUAGAAUCAGCUAAGAUCAGUAAAUAAGUCAACACUCCCCUUCAAGUUGGUGCAUAGAUGUUGCACAUGCCCAACUUGCAAAUCAAAUUAUGGUAGAUGUUGUUGUUGAGCGCUUUAGUAAACACAUCUGCAAUUUGCCCAGUAGAAGUCACAUGAACUAGGUUCAAGACAUCGUCUGUUAAUUUUUCUUUAAUGAAGUGCUGAUCAAUUUCAAUGUGUUUCGUCCGGUCAUGUUGGACUGGAUUUUGUGCUGUACUUGUAGCAGCUUUAUUGUCACAAUACAGAGUUAUCUUGUCUCUCUCGUGCAACCUCAACUCCCUCAAUAACUUCUGCAACCAUAAGAGUUCACACACACUUUGGGCCAUUGCUCUGUAUUCUGCUUCAGCACUUGACCGAGCAACAACACUUUGUUUUUUACUCCUCCAGGUAACAAGGUUUCCUCCCACAACUGUGCAGUAGCCAGAGGUGGAUCUCCUGUCAUUGAGAGAUCCUGCCCAAUCUGCAUCUGUAAAAGCUUCAACUCGGAGGUGACCAUGUUUGGAGUAAAAAAGCCCUUUCCCUGGUGCAGACUUUAGGUAUCUCAAGAUGCGAAAUACAGUCUGCAUAUGAGUCUCGCGAGGGUCAUGCAUGAAUUGACUGACUAAGCUAACAGCAUAGGCUAUAUCCGGUCGAGUGUGUGAGAGAUAAAUCAACCUUCCUACCAAUCUCUGAUAUCUUCCAAUAUCCACGGACUCACCAGUUCUUGCUUCCAGCUUGUAAUUACUUUCAAUGGGAGAUUCUGCUGGUUUACACCCUAUCAUACCAGUUUCUUCCAAAAGAUCCAGAAUGUACUUUCUUUGGGAGAUGAAAAUUCCUUUUUCUGAUCUAGCCACCUCGAUACCUAGGAAAUAUUGCAGUUUUCCUAGAUCUUUGAUUUGAAAUUCCUGAGUCAACAACCUCUUUAGUUGAGCCAUUUCCUCUUUGUCAUCACCUGUCACCACUAUAUCAUCAAUAUACACAAUAAGAAGGGUUAUCUUACCCUUGUGAUGUUUGAUAAACAAAGUGUGAUCAGCAUUGCUUUGUUGGUAGUCAAAAGACAUCAUGGCUCUGCUAAACCUGUCAAACCAAGCUUUGGAAGAUUGUUUUAGCCCAUACAAAGCCUUUUUUAACCUGCACCCCUUUCCUUGUGUCUUCUCAUCAGCGAACCCAGGAGGAAUUUCUAUGAACACUUCUUCCUGUAAAUUUCCAUGAAGAAAAGCAUUCUUCACAUCAAACUGUUGCAAGUCGCAGUCCAAGUUGGCUGCGUCAGAUAACAGAAUUCUGAUUGAGUUCAUUUUUGCAACUGGGGCAAAUGUCUCUUGGUAAUCCACUCCAUAAGUUUGGGUGAAUCCUUUAGCAAUCAAUCUGGCCUUAAACCAUUCAAUUGUGCCAUCAGCUUUGUGUUUCACUGUGAACACCCAUUUACAGCCAACGAGUUUCUUUCCAGGUGGGAGAGUGACAAGCUCCCAGGUCUCAUUUUUAGCCAAUGCUUUCAUCUCUUCGCUCCCUUCCAUUUAGGAUCUGCAAGAGCUUUCUUCCAAUCCUGUGGAAUAGACACAGGAAAUAGACAAGGCAAAGGCUCUAUAGGAAGGAGACAAGGAUUCAUAAGAAAUAAAGUUAGAAAUAGGGUGUUUAGUACAAGAUCUGAUCCCUUUUCUUUGUGCAAUAAGUUUAUCUAAGUCAUUGGAGUAUUCAAGAGUUGUGAGUAACUCACCAGAAAAAGAUUCUUGAUUGGGUAACUCACCAGAAGAAGAUUCUUGACUCUGAGUAGACUGUAUAAUGGCUUCUUCUGCCUUGUCUCUCCUCGAAUACCUUCUCAAAUCUGGCUUGUUCAAACGACCAAUUCUCUCUUCCUGAUUGGACAUCUCCCCCUGUCUACUAGAACUCAAACUCUAGUUGAACCAUAUCAUUCAGAAUCACAGAAUUCGAGAUCACCUCUUCUUGCUCAUUAUUCUCCCCCUGAAGAGGUGAAUAUGUGGUACUGAAGUAGGGUUCAGUUUCUCGGAAGGUAACAUCCAUACUGACUAAGUAUUUCCUAGAGGGAGGGUGAUAACACUUGUAUCUUUUCUGUGUCGAAGAAUACCCAACAAACACACAUUUAAGGGCCUUGGGAUCCAAUUUCCCUGCCGUCCUAGUAUGGACAAAGCAAACACACCCAAAUACUUUUGGUGGAACAACGUAUGAAUUCUUCCCUUUUAGAACUGCCAAAGGACUCAUAAAGUCAAGGGUCUUGAGAGGCAUUCUAUUGAUAAGAUAAGCAGAUGCAAGGAUUGCAUCUCCACAAUAUGCUUUGGGUAGAUUCAUGGUGAACAUAAGAGAUCGAGCUACCUCCAAUAAAUGCCUAUUUUUUCUCUUAGCAACUCUAUUUUGAGCACUAGUAUAAGGACAACUAGUCUAGUGUACUAUCCCAUUACUCUCCAAAUAAGCAGAAAAACUACUAUCCAUGUAUUCUCUUCCAUUGUCAGUUCUCAAAAUUUUCACCUUAGUAUCAAAUUGAGUACAAACUAUCUUAUGAAAUGAUUGAAAACAAGAAAAGACAUCACUUUUAGCUUUAAUCAAAUAGACCUAAGUCAUUCGAGUGCAACAAUCAAUAAAGGUGACAAACCAUCGAUUACUAGACAAGGAGACAGUUUGAGUAGACCCCCAAACAUCAGAAUGAAUAGUCGCGAAAGAAAUUUGACUUUUAUUAUAACUCAAAGGAUAGGAUGUUCUAGUGUGUUUAGCAUACUCACAAGCAUCACAAAAUAGAGAAUCAAAUUGAGUUCUAGCAAACAAAUUAGGAUAAAGUUUUUCUAAGGCAAAAAAUGAUGGAUGCCCUAACCGUCUGUGCCACUGUAUUAUUUCCUGAUUGACAUCCUUAUUUUCUCCAAAACAGACUUGAGAUAUCGAAGAACCUGGAUCACCCUCCAAUAUAUAUAAGUCAUCAUGCAGCCUACCAUUGCCAAUCCUCUUCCUUGUGCGAAGAUCCUGAAUAACACAAUGAUUAGGAAAGAAUUCAAUUUUACAGUUCAUUGGUGAUAGCACUGACAGAUAAAAGAUUGACAAGAAAGUGGGGAACAUGGAGGACAGAUGAUAAUUUAAUGUUGGAUGUGCAAAUAACAGAACAUGUUCUGGAUAUGGGAGUAAAAGAGCCAUCAGCAAUUCUGACACUAUCUUUGGUUAGAGAAGGAAAAUAAUUGAAAAAACCUUUAGAAGAGCCUUUCAUGAGUCUAUUCGCACCAGAAUCGAUAAUCCAUGGAAUAUUAUUAAGAGAGGAAGCAUUACCUUCUGCCAUCGACACCCUUUUACCUUCUGUCAUGGUAAAGGUUUAUGAACCGUGACAGAAUAGGAGGUAUCCAAGGUUGUACACACAAGAGAGCCCAAUCGAUUCACCAAAAAACCGGGUAGCAGCACGGGAAGGCUAGAAAGAUGGUCGAAAUCGUCGCCGAAGUGAUCGGAGUGGCAAAGCAGCGUCACGCGAUGGGUCACGCGUCGGGAAGCGAUGGGUCAUGCACCGGGAAAGGGAGGCUCGUGAGCCUCACGCGCAGUUUUUUCUGGCGUCAGAGCUGGGUGAUCGGCCAGCGACAGUCCGACGAUUCUCCUGGUGCUGGCGGUGAGAGGAGAAUAGGCUCCUAAAUAGGUUAGUACCAAAAAAGUAGAUCUAGUGUUUUGAAACCCUAAAGAGAAAAAAUUGAAUUUGAGCCCUAAAAUCAGGAAAAUGCUCUGAUACCAUGAAGAAUUUUGGGAAAAUUUAGAGAAUUUUUGUAUUUCACUUUUAAUCUUUACAAUUGGUCUACAUGGCUAUUUAUACACAAAGAAUUACAUCUAAACAGGAAGCAAAUAAUCAAAUAAUAAUUACAGAGAUAAUUAAGGAUCCUAAUCAAAUCAAAUCAUAUCCCUAGAAUCAUUUAGGAUCAGUAAAUAGGUCAACAGUUUUGUCUCUUAUUGAGUAUCUCCUUAAAUUUGAUUUAUUCAAACGCUCAAUUCAGUCACCUAAUUACUAAUAGUCUCCCUUUGUAUAGCAGUCUCCUCUAGAGUAAAACAUUCUAGAGUUAUAGGACCAAGAAUCAUCUCUUCUCUCUCAUUGUCCUUUCUCUAAAAAAAUGAUGGGUAGUACUGAAGUAAGGUUCAGUUUCUAUAAAUGUAACAUUUAUACUAACAAAGUAUUUUCUAGAUGGAGCUUCUGCGUAGGAGAGUACCCAACAAACACACAUUUAAGAGCCUUCGGAUUGAGCUUUCCUCCUGUCCUAUUAUGAAUAAAACACGUGUAUCCAAACACUUUUGGUGAAACAGUAUAAGCAUUUUUCUCUUGUAGCAUCUCUAAAGGGCUUUUAAAUGUAAAAGUUUUGAGAAACAUUCUAUUAAUGAGAUAAGCUGCGACUACUCCCCAAUAGAUUUUUGGAAAGUUCAUAGUGAAAAGGAGAGAUCGGACUACUUCCAAUAGGUGCCUAUUUUUUUCUUUCAGCAACACGAGCAUUAGGAUAACUAGUUUGAUGCAAUAUCCCAUUAGAUUUCAAAUAAGCACAAAAAUGACCAUCCAUGUACUUUGUAUCUAUCAGUUUUCGAAACUUUUAUCUUAGCAUCAAACUGAAUACAAAUCAUUUGCAAAAAGAUUGAAAGCAAGAAACCACAUCACUAUUUGCCUUUAACAAAUAAAUUCAAGUUAUGCGAGUGCAACAAUCAAUAAAAGUAACAAAUCAAUGAUUACCAGAUAGACCGUUUGCGUAGGUCCCCAAAUGUAAGAAUGGAUGGUCACAAAAGGGAUCGUACUUUUAUUGUUACUAGAGGGAUAAGAGAUUCUUGUAUGCUUGCUCACAAGCAUCACAAACUAAAGAACCACAUUGAGUUUUGAAAAAUAAAUCAUGAUAAAUUUUCUCUAAAAUAAAGAAGGAUGGGUGUCAUAACCGUCGAUGCCCCUGUAUAAUUUCCUGAUUGACAUUCUGAUUUCUUACAAAAAAAUGUCUGAGCUGAAUUCAAACUCAGAUUCCCUUUCAACAUAUAUAAGCCAGUGCAGUCUAUUAUUGUCAAUUCUCUUCCCAGUCCUUAAUAACACAAUGAUUAGGAAAAAAUUUACAGUUAAGUGCUUUGGUGAGAGCACUAACAGAUAAAAGAUUAAUAGGAAAAUAAGGACAUGAAGAACAGAUGAUAGCUUGAUAUUUAGAGUACAAACAAUAGAACCGGUUUCAGAGACAGGAGUGAAGGAACCAUCCAUCGGCUAUUCUGAUAGUAUGCUUUUGUAGACAUGGAAGAUAAUUAAGGAAGUUUUUAGAAGAGCUUGUCAUAUGUCUAUUUGUGCUAGAAUCAAUAAUCCAUGGAGCAAAAUCAGUAGAUGAAACGAAAUCAUUAUCACAGGCCCUUACAUUUUUCACAUUAGUCACUUUCUUGUCUGUCAUUUUAAGCAGGAAAAAAAUUUUAUUUUUCAAAAUAGGUAAAGAACUAUUGUUCACUGGAGAAGGACCUACGCGCCGGCUCUUUUUGCAGACAUGGAAGAUAAUUAAGGAAGUCUUUAGAAGAGCCUGUCAUAUGUCUAUUUGUGCAAGAUUCAAUAACCCAUGGAGCAAAAUCAGUAGAUGAAACGAAAUCAUUAUCAGAGGCUACUUACAUUUUCCACAUUAGUCACUUUCAUGUCUGUCAUUUCAAGGAGAAAAAAAUUUUUUUUUUUGUCAAAACAGGUAAAGAACUACUGUUUACCGAAGGACCUACGGGCCGGUGGGUAUAGGUCGGAAAAACCAACCACAGUGACCGGACCAGUGACCUCCGUCGGAUAACGCAUCACGCGUUGUUAGAAGGAGGUGCGUGGGACUAACGCGCCGAGAAUGAUGAGGCGUAUGUGCCUACGCACUGGAUUUUGGUCACCAAAACUUGUGGAACAGCCAGCAACGUCACUGCAACUCCUCUAAUGCUAGCAGUGAGAGAAAAAAGUAGGUCUAGAUGGGAAAACCCCAAAGAGCAGUAGGUUGCUAGGAUUAAUGAAAAAAUUUCAGAUGUUAGAAUCUGAAAUUAAACCCAAAAAACAGCCACAAGGCUCUGGUACCAUGUUAAAUCUAGGCUAAACCUAACUCACCCCAAAAGCUAGCUUAAGGGGAAGAGUAAAAGGGGGCACAUUGCCCCUUUCCCAGCGCCCAAACCACACUGACCACACUGGAGCGUGAUACAUUUAUGAGAGGCCUAACAUCGGUGGGAGCUAUGAUACCAUGAAGAAUUUUGGGAAGAAUUUCUGAAUUGAUCUUUUAUAAGGGUUGAAUAUUUAUAUACAAAAAAUCCACCUAAAUUAGGAAUAUUUACAAUAAAAAUAAAAUUUCUGUAAUCAAGUCUAAUUAGAUCCAAAGAUUUGAAUUCUCUUAAUUAGAAACCUUCUAUGUUGAUCAACAGAACAUAAUAUGGUCGUAUUAGUGGUG